AUUGCAAUUUGUUGAAACUGUGAAGCACAUAACAUAACAUAUCGAUUACCUUAUUACAAAAUACAGAUCUUGUUGGUUGCAACAUGAGUUGUAUCAUGUUCUACAUACAUGGACUGAAAUUCUGCCAAAAAUACCUCCAGAUUAUCUAGUAUUAGAUCUCGUUAUUCAAGAAAAGAUGAAAACCACGAUAGUCCUAAACUUGAAAGAAGUGUAUCAAUGAAUCUAACUUGUGAUCCUAGAGUUGAAUAGCUUUGAGGUUUAAGUUCAAUCACAAUUUAUACUUGAUUAAUAAAUCCUCAAAAUUUGGAUCUUAUACCAUCAAACUUCUUGGAUAGGACAACUCUUGGUUCUCUAAUACUUGAAGGAUGUUCUACCAUGGGUAGAGGGACAAGUUUUGGUGUAGAUGUUGAAGCAGCUCUAAUCAUCUCUAUAUCCUCACUUUCUACUAUUGUUGAUCCUUAUGGUGGUAAGCUAAAUUGAUGCAUCGCAAGCAUUAACUCCUUCAAUUGCUCUUGAAUUUGUGCCAUUGUACUCUUCAUUUCAAAAAGAUCUACCAUAAUAACACUCAAAAAAAUAUCUAAUACCAC
rnacentral:lncRNA from 1 species